AGAGUUUGAUCCUGGCUCAGAACGAACGCUGGCGGCAUGCUUAACACAUGCAAGUCGAACGGGAAAGUCCUUCGGGAUGAGUAGAGUGGCGCACGGGUGAGUAACGCAUGGGAACGUACCUUUUGGUUGGGAAUAACCACGGGAAACUGUGGCUAAUACCGGAUAGCCUCGCAAGAGUAAAGAUAGCCUCUGCUUGCAUGCUUUCGCCAAGAGAUCGGCCCAUGUCCCAUUAGCUUGUUGGUGAGGUAAAAGCUCACCAAGGCGACGAUGGGUAGCUGGUCUGAGAGGAUGAUCAGCCACACUGGAACUGAGAUACGGUCCAGACUCCUACGGGAGGCAGCAGUGGGGAAUAUUGCACAAUGGGCGCAAGCCUGAUGCAGCAAUGCCGCGUGGGUGAAGAAGGCCCUUGGGUCGUAAAGCCCUUUCGAUAGAGAAGAAGGUGUAGAGGUGAAUAGCCAUCUAUGUUGACGGUAUCUAGAGAAGAAGCACCGGCUAAUUUCGUGCCAGCAGCCGCGGUAAUACGAAAGGUGCAAGCGUUGUUCGGAAUUAUUGGGCGUAAAGCGCAAGCAGGCGGGUCUGUAUGUCGAUUGUGAAAUCCCUGGGCUUAACCCGGGGGCGCCAGUCGAAACUGCAGAUCUUGAAUACCUGAGAGGGUGGGGGAAUUCCUGGUGGAGAAGUGAAAUUCGUAGAGAUCAGGAGGAACACCAGAGGCGUAGGCUCCUACCUGGCAGGAUAUUGACGCUCAGUUGCGAAAGCGUGGGGAGCAAACAGGAUUAGAUACCCUGGUAGUCCACGCCAUAAACGAUGGUUACUAGGUGUUCGGUGGACUAACCCGCUGAGUACCAAAGCUCACGCAUUAAGUAACCCGCCUGGGGAGUACGGUCGCAAGGCUAAAACUCAAAGGAAUUGACGGGGGCCCGCACAAGCGGUGGAGUAUGUGGUUUAAUUCGAAGCAACGCGAAGAACCUUACCUGGCCUUGACAUCCCAGGACCGGUGCAGAGAUGCAUCUUUCCCUUCGGGGACCUGGAGACAGGUGCUGCAUGGCUGUCGUCAGCUCGUGUUGUGAAAUGUUAGGUUAAGUCCUGCAACGAGCGCAACCCCUGUCCUUAGUUACCAUCAUUAAGUUGGGGACUUUAGGGAGACUGCCGGUGUUAAACCGGAGGAAGGCGGGGAUGACGUCAAGUCCUCAUGGCCCUUACGGCCAGGGCUACACACGUACUACAAUGGCAGAAACAAACUGUUGCGAGACCGAAAGGUG
rnacentral:rRNA from 1 species